GGCUGGUAUGCAUUCACCGAACGCCGUCUUUCUCCUUAGAGAUACUGCUUUGAAUAGCUUAAGGUUCCCAUGGUUCUGGAUCUCCUAACUUUGUUUUGUGGACAUCUAUAUAUGUCAUUUUCAAAUGGGUCAUCCAUGCUUGUGUCUCACUUUGGUGGCCAUACCCAUUUCUUGACUUGUCAUCCCCUUAUGCUCUACUAUGGUAAGUUAUUGCCUUUUUGAAAUUUAUAUCUAAUUUU